rnacentral:tRNA from 1 species
UCGGGAUAGCUCAGCUGGUAGAGCAGAGGACUGAAAAUCCUCCGUGCAC